GCACAAGCGGUGGAUGAUGUGGUUUAAUUCGAUGCAACGCGAAAACCUUACCCACCUUUGACAUGUACGGAACCCUUUAGAGAUAGGGGGUGCUCGAAAGAGGGCCGUAACACAGGUGCUGCAUGGCUGUCGUCAGCUCGUGUCGUGAGAUGUUGGGUUAAGUCCCGCAACGAGCGCAACCCUUGUCAUUAGUUGCUACAUUCAGUUGGGCACUCUAAUGAGACUGCCGGUGACAAGCCGGAGGAAGGUGGGGAUGACGUCAAGUCCUCAUGGCCCUUAUAGGUGGGGCUACACACGUCAUACAAUGGCUGGUACAAAGGGUUGCCAACCCGCGAGGGGGAGCCAAUCCCAUAAAGCCAGUCGUAGUCCGGAUCGUAGUCUGCAACUCGACUACGUGAAGUCGGAAUCGCUAGUAAUCGUGGAUCAGAAUGUCACGGUGAAUACGUUCCCGGGUCUU
rnacentral:rRNA from 1 species